UUUCUCUGGGGAUGGUUCUCUUGCUUUCAGCCCAAGGCCAAGGAACAGACAUUCCUCGGCUGGGAUGACGGUGCAUCUUUUAUCUAGCAAGUCACAUUUCGACUCUGUGUUUCAAUCAACUGUAAAGUCUUCGGGGCCAUCUUAGAAAAGGGAUUUUAUUAUUUUUCCAGACAUGCUGUCUUCAGAAUAAGUGAAAUUCAAAAUGUUAAAAUGAGGUGGCUCUGGUCAUGUCUUGGCCAAAGCAUUCUCACUUACCUAGAUUAUGGUUCCAUCACAAGGAAGAGUUUGGUGCUGAACUCUUUGUGGUUGGCAUGUUUUCCUCCUAGAUUGGCACUGUUGAAGAAAAGCGGGGAGGAAGAUUGGAGAAACAGACUCAGCAGGAGGCAGGAGGGCAGCAAGGCUCCGGCCAGCAGCCUGCACACCCAGGAAGCAGGGCGGUCCCUCAUCAAGAAGGAAGAAGGAGGAGUUGCGGAUGAUAUUGCCGUUUCUAAUCUGCUUUGGAGGGUCACAGAAAGUCGAGAGAGCCAGAUGACAAUUGAGGAAAGGAAGCAGCUCAUCACUGUGAGAGAGGAGGCCUGGAAGACGAGAGGCAGAGGAGCGGCCAACGACUCCACCCAGUUCACUGUGGCUGGCAGGAUGCUGAAGAAAGGUUUGGCGUCACCCACUGCCAUAACCCCAGUAGCCUCACCCAUUUGCAGUAAAACAAGAGGCACCACACCCGUUUCCAAACCCCUGGAAGAUAUCGAAGCCAGACCAGAUAUGCAGUUAGAAUCGGACCUGAAGUUGGACAGGCUGGAAACCUUUCUGAGAAGGCUGAAUAACAAAGUUGGCGGGAUGCACGAAACGGUGCUCACUGUCACCGGCAAAUCUGUGAAGGAGGUGAUGAAGCCAGAUGAUGAUGAAACUUUUGCCAAAUUUUACCGCAGCAUGGAUUAUAAUAUGCCCAGAAGUCCUGUGGAGCUGGACGAGGACUUCGAUGUCAUUUUCGAUCCUUAUGCACCCAAGUGAGUUAUUUGGGUCUCCGUCUUUCCUCCACUGAGAAGGGCUUCCUUCACCUAUACACAGCAUAUCCACGAGGCUCUUUCCCCAUGUGACCUCCUUCUUCUAACUCCAUCACAGGGGCGUUAGUAUUCUAGAGCCAGGGCACGCUGUUGCAGGAGCCAGGGGCAGGGAGCCUCACAGCAGAUAGAACAUGCAGACCAGAUGUGCAGGCAGGCAGACCGUGUGGGCCACAGUUGCUUGUCCUGUGCCAUAAAGAGGGCGUCACUGGAUUUUUCACAUAAUUUGAAUAUCGUUUUGCAGUUUUUAGGGUUACAUUACUUAGCAGAGAGUUCAACGCCUGUCUUUCAUUGGCAUAUUGAAUCCUUCCUCAUAAUGUUGCAAAAUAUUUGGAUGAGAUGAGCUCAAAUUAGUACAGCUCACUAGAAAAUCAGUAAGGCAUGUUACUUAGCUUCUAAUCAUUUACAAAAUCAGUAGAUCUGGGGGUUUUCUCAUUGAUGUCUAAGGGUUUCUCUUCCCACGGGAACAUGACUAAACCAACUAGGAAAAGUGAUUAUGGUAUUAGGAGUCCGUCAAUUUCAAGUGCCGAGGAGAAGAUCCCAACUCAAACUGAUUUCAGCAAAAAGAAAAGUGCGGAGAGGUUUACCCGCUCACUGGCUGAACAGUGGGGAGGAGUUGACCGGCCUCACUCGCCGAACAGUGCGGAGGGGUUUACGCUCUCACUCGCUGAAAAGCGCGGUGGAGUUGACUGGCUCACUCGCUGAAAAGUGCAGGUGUGGCCUCGGGUUCUAGAGGCUCCUCAGAACACAGUCUGUCUUGGCUUUGGGCUGGCCGCACUCUCCGUCAGGCAAUGGCCAGGCGGCAGAUGGACACCCAGCUGUGGAGUCACAAGGCUGCCUCCCUGGCCAGCCCAGCACAGGUAGCUUCUCUUCUCAAUAGUCCCAGCAGAAGUUCCAGGUUUGAUUUUCUUGGCUUCAACUUGAGUCCCGUGUCCAUCCCUAAACCAGUCACUGUGGCCAAUGGGAUAGAAGAUGCCGACUGGCUAAAGGCGGGUCUCUGGGUCUCCUCUAGAGCCACGGUGGGGGCGCAGGGAGGUGGUUUCCCCAAAGGAAAAUCCAGAUCCUAUUACAGAAGCAGAGGAGGACACACUGGACAGGCUCCACCCACGGCAGUCCACCACAUCCAUCGGGUCUUUCCUUCGAAAUUGUCAGAGUGACAUAUACCAUUUUCUACAAGCUGCUCCUGAUAAAUUCAUUGCAUAUUCUGGUUUGCUCAAUUUGUUUCAGUUUGCAUGUUUUAAUUUCCUACCUUAAAAAAUGAGCCCUUUUCUAUUUUCUACUUCAAAAUAGUAUUUUGGGUAUUUGCAUACAUAGCUGUUUAACCAUUUCUCAAUCUUCUGCCCACCCAAUGUCACUGUUUAAAUUAUUGUAUAUCAUAAUGUAAACAUAUAUGUAUAUUACACACUUGACACCAUGGUAUGUAAAGAGGCCUUUCGGGCACAGAGGCCCGCGCAGCUGCAGGUGGAGAGUGGCAGCAGGAGUCUGUUGGGAGAUCACUUCGCACCGUCUGCUCACCUCACCAAGUCUGGUUUUCCACCCCAGAGUUGUGAAAAUGUAGGAUGGUCACAGAUGGUUUUGGUAGGACCCUGAGCUUCUCGGAGUUGGGAUGUGGGCUGGAGGGAGCCGGCUGGGGGCAAUGAAUGGAGGCGAGGAGAUGGGCUCCAGGUUCUCACUCCCACUGUAGGCUGAGCCACACUGCUCUCAUCUGCCCAAUAAUGUGGGGUUCCAUCAUUCUGAAACAGUGAUUUUCUUGGUUUGAGGUGAUAGCAUGCAUAAUCUUGAUUUUUGGAAUAAUCUUGCUAUAAUUUUCAUUUUCCCAUAACACUCAUAAACCUAUCUCCUCAUGUUUUUCUUAGAAAUAUAGUAUUUAGAUGAAGUGGUUGAGUCUUUUCGUUAUAACUGGUUUACUAAGAAAGUAUAUUUCAGACCACGCAUGGUGGCUCAUGCCUGUAAUCCUAGCACUUCAGGAGGCAGAGGCAGGAGGAUCACUUGAGCCCAGGAGUCUGAGAGCAGCCUGAGAAACAUAGCAAGACUUCAUCUCUACAAAAAAUAAAAAAAUUAGCUAGGUGUGGUGGCACUCACCUGGGGUCCCAGCUACUCAGGAGGCUGAGGUGGGAGGAUCACUUAACCCCAGGAGGUCAAGGCUGCAGUGAGCCAUGAUUGCACCAUUGCACUCCAGGCUGGGUGACAGAGCCACACCCUUUCUCAAAAAAAAAAAGUGUAUUUCAAAACCACAACACCAUAAUGAAUUGACAAGUGGUGUUAUAUGUCUUCAAAUCUAAUCCCAGUGAAAUAAAUUUCUGAAUUU
rnacentral:lncRNA from 1 species